ACAUACAUAGCGGAGGAAAAGAAACCAACAGGGAUUGCGUUAGUAACGGCGAGUGAAGCGGCAAAAGCUCAGAUUUGAAAUCUGGUGCCAUUUUGGUACUCGAGUUGUAAUCUGUAGAGGAGUAUUCGAGUGUAGCUUUGGCUUAAGUUUCUUGGAACAGGACGUCAGAGAGGGUGAGAACCCCGUUUACGGCCUUUGACUUAUGCUCAUGUGAAUCUUCUUCAACGAGUCGAGUUGUUUGGGAAUGCAGCUCUAAAUUGGUGGUAAAUUCCAUCUAAAGCUAAAUAUUGGCAAGAGACCGAUAGCGCACAAGUAGAGUGAUCGAAAGAUGAAAAGAACUCUGAACAGAGAGUCAAAUAGUACGUGAAAUUGUUGAAAGGGAAGCACUUGUUACCAGACAUACCUUCAGUCAAUCAACCUUCAUUUUUGAUCGUGCACUUGGCUGUUGGUGGGUCAGCAUCAGUUACAACAGUGGGAUAAAGGCUAUGGGAAUGUAGCUUCCUUCGGGGAGUGUUAUAGCUCAAAGUGUAAUACUAAUCGUUGUGACUGAGGCCUGCGCUUCGGUGAGGAUGCUGGCAUAAUGGUCAUAAGUGACCCGUCUUGAAACACGGACCAAGGAGUCUAACAUCUAUGCAAGUGUUUGGGUGUUAAAACCCUUACGCGGAAUGAAAGUAAAUGGAGGUGGGAACCGCAAGGUGCACCAUCGACCGAUCCUGAUGUUUUCGGAUGGAUUUGAGUAGGAGCAUAACUGUUGGGACCCGAAAGAUGGUGAACUAUGCCUGAAUAGGGUGAAGCCAGAGGAAACUCUGGUGGAGGCUCGCAGCGGUUCUGACGUGCAAAUCGAUCGUCAAAUUUGGGUAUAGGGGCGAAAGACUAAUCGAAGCUUAUAGUACUAU
rnacentral:rRNA from 1 species